rnacentral:ncRNA from 1 species
GAGAGCCGGAUGCGGGGAAACUCGCACGUCCGGUUCGGCGGGCGGGGCAUGGAAACGUACCAGAAGCAAUUCCGGC